rnacentral:rRNA from 1 species
AUUGAACGCUGGCGGCAUGCUUUACACAUGCAAGUCGAACGGUAACAGGCCUUCGGGUGCUGACGAGUGGCGAACGGGUGAGUAAUGCAUCGGAACGUACCCAGAGGUGGGGGAUAACGCAGCGCAAGCUGUGCUAAUACCGCAUGUGAUCUGAGGAUGAAAGCGGGGGACCGAGCAGCAAUGUUUUUCCUCGCGCCUUUGGAGCGGCCGAUGUCGGAUUAGCUAGUUGGUGGGGUAAAGGCCUACCAAGGCGACGAUCCGUAGCUGGUCUGAGAGGACGACCAGACACACUGGGACUGAGACACGGCCCAGACUCCUACGGGAGGCAGCAGUGGGGAAUUUUGGACAAUGGGCGCAAGCCUGAUCCAGCAAUGCCGCGUGCGGGAAGAAGGCAUUCGGGUUGUAAACCGCUUUUGGCAGGAACGAAACGGUGUCCGCUAAUACCGGGCGCUAAUGACGGUACCUGCAGAAUAAGCACCGGCUAACUACGUG